AGAGUUUGAUCAUGGCUCAGGACGAACGCUGGCGGCGCGCCUAAUACAUGCAAGUCGAGCGAGAACCAGGGCUUGCCCUGGGGAGAGCGGCGAACGGGUGCGUAUCACGUGAGCAACCUGCCUCAGAGACCGGGAUAACUCGAGGAAACUCGGGCUAAUACCGGAUGCCCUCGGCGGACCGCAUGGUUCGGCGAGGAAAUGGAUUCCGCUCUGAGAUGGGCUCGCGGCCUAUCAGCUUGUUGGUGGGGUAACGGCCUACCAAGGCAACGACGGGUAGCUGGUCUGAGAGGACGAUCAGCCACACUGGGACUGAGACACGGCCCAGACUCCUACGGGAGGCAGCAGUAGGGAAUCUUGCGCAAUGGGCGAAAGCCUGACGCAGCGACGCCGCGUGCGGGAUGAAGGCCUUCGGGUCGUAAACCGCUUUCAGCAGGGACGAAAUUGACGGUACCUGCAGAAGAAGGCCCGGCCAACUACGUGCCAGCAGCCGCGGUGAUACGUAGGGGUCUAGCGUUGUCCGGAAUCAUUGGGCGUAAAGAGCUCGUAGGCGGUUCGAUUAGUCGGGUGUGAAAUCUCCACGCUCAACGUGGAGGGGCCACUCGAUACUGUCGUGACUCGAGUCCGGUAGGGGAGUUCGGAAUUCCCGGUGUAGCGGUGAAAUGCGCAGAUAUCGGGAGGAACACCAGUGGCGAAGGCGGAACUCUGGGCCGGAACUGACGCUGAGGAGCGAAAGCGUGGGGAGCGAACAGGAUUAGAUACCCUAGUAGUCC
rnacentral:rRNA from 1 species